UACGUAGGGGGCAAGCGUUGUCCGGAAUCAUUGGGCGUAAAGAGCGUGUAGGCGGCUCGGUAAGUCCGCUGUGAAAGUCCAGGGCUCAACCCUGGAAUGCCGGUGGAAACUGUCGGGCUAGAGUCCGGAAGAGGCGAGUGGAAUUCCUGGUGUAGCGGUGGAAUGCGCAGAUAUCAGGAGGAACACCAAUAGCGAAGGCAGCUCGCUGGGACGAUACUGACGCUAAGGCGCGAAAGCGUGGGAGCGAACGAGG
rnacentral:rRNA from 1 species